GCCUCUGUAGCUCAGUUGGUUAGAAGACUGCACCGGAAUUGCAGGACAGCAGGUUCGAUUCCUGCAGGGACC